ACCCUGGUGUUUUUUAACACCACCCUUUGUACAAGAAAUUCAUCA
rfam:Phytophthora nicotianae strain race 0 contig5974, whole genome shotgun sequence.